rnacentral:rRNA from 1 species
AGUGAACGCUGGCGGUAGGCCUAACACAUGCAAGUCGAACGGCAGCACAGUAAGAGCUUGCUCUUACGGGUGGCGAGUGGCGGACGGGUGAGGAAUACAUCGGAAUCUACUUUUUCGUGGGGGAUAACGUAGGGAAACUUACGCUAAUACCGCAUACGACCUACGGGUGAAAGCAGGGGAUCUUCGGACCUUGCGCGAUUGAUUGAGCCGAUGUCGGAUUAGCUAGUUGGCGGGGUAAAGGCCCACCAAGGCGACGAUGCGUAGCUGGUCUGAGAGGAUGAUCAGCCACACUGGAACUGAGACACGGUCCAGACUCCUACGGGAGGCAGCAGUGGGGAAUAUUGGACAAUGGGCGCAAGCCUGAUCCAGCCAUACCGCGUGGGUGAAGAAGGCCUUCGGGUUGUAAAGCCCUUUUGUUGGGAAAGAAAAGCAGCAGGUUAAUACCCCGCUGUUCUGACGGUACCCAAAGAAUAAGCACCGGCUAACUUCGUG